CAAAGCUGAAAACUAUCCUCGCCUCCCCUAUAUAUAGUUCCAUCUCCUUCCCUUAAUCCAUCACAUCGCAAGAGAAAGGAAAGAUGACAGAUGAUUACUCUGAUGCGGGAAAGCGUUCGUGGCCGGAGCUAGUGGGAAUAAAAGGAGAAGUGGCAGCAAAAAUCAUCGUAAGAGAGAAUCCCAAGGUUGGUGCUGUGAUUGUGAAGGAAGGAAUGAUGGUGACUAUGGAUUUCCGUGAGGACAGGGUCCGAGUUUGGGUUGAUGAAUGUGGAAUUGUGAAAGAUAUUCCACAAAUUGGUUGAUCAGCAGACGAAAUAUUCUGUUGUUUAUGCUAUACUGAUAUAUAUACGUCUAAGGUUUGUCAUGAAGAUUGUACCAAAUAACCAGCAUAUGCAAUCGUGCUAAUUAAACAAGUUAAUCUUCAAUAAAAUGGUUUGUUUGUUGUAA